rnacentral:rRNA from 2 species
CCCCCCCGGUGAGAGUUUGAUCCUGGCUCAGAGUGAACGCUGGCGGUAGGCCUAACACAUGCAAGUCGAACGGCGGAUGACGGGAGCUUGCUCCUUGAUUCAGCGGCGGACGGGUGAGUAAUGCCUAGGAAUCUGCCUGGUAGUGGGGGACAACGUUUCGAAAGGAACGCUAAUACCGCAUACGUCCUACGGGAGAAAGCAGGGGACCUUCGGGCCUUGCGCUAUCAGAUGAGCCUAGGUCGGAUUAGCUAGUUGGUGAGGUAAUGGCUCACCAAGGCGACGAUCCGUAACUGGUCUGAGAGGAUGAUCAGUCACACUGGAACUGAGACACGGUCCAGACUCCUACGGGAGGCAGCAGUGGGGAAUAUUGGACAAUGGGCGAAAGCCUGAUCCAGCCAUGCCGCGUGKGUGAAGAAGGCCUUCGGRUUGUAAAGCCCU